UGAAAAGCGAAGAUGGCGCCCAGUACAAAGGGAGAAAAGAUAGCAUAGAGAGAGGGAUCUUGGCUGAAAGUCCUUUCUAUCUUCCCAAUGGAAUUUUCCCGCCGGAGCUGUUUUUGUGAAAAAGAGUAGCAAAAACCGUGGAAUACGUUACAUUCAAAAUGAGGGUUCGAUUCCGGCGUUAGCUUUAUUUUGGAGCUAAGGAAUCGAAAAACAGGGUGGUACCGCGAGCAAUCGUCCCUGUC
rnacentral:ncRNA from 1 species